GACGAACGCUGGCGGCGUGCUUAACACAUGCAAGUCGAACGCAGUGGCGAACGGGUGAGUAACGCGUAAUUAACCUGCUCUUCAGAGGGGGACAACAGUUGAAAACGACUGCUAAUACCGCAUACUGAAGGAGGGGAUUGCGUCUGUUUAGGUAGUUGGAGGGGUAACGGCCCACCAAGGCGAUGAUCAUAAGGCGGUCUGAGGGGAUGAACGGCCAAAUUGGGACUGAGACAAGGCCCAGACUCCUACGGGAGGCAGCAGUGGGGAAUCUUCCGCAAUGGAAGAAAGUCUGACGGAGCAACGCCGCGGGAGUGAUGACGGGCUUCGGGUUGUAAAGCUCUGUUAAUCGGGACGCGGUACCGGAAUAGAAAGCCACGGCUAACUACGUGCCAGCAGCCGCGGUAAUUC
rnacentral:rRNA from 1 species